AACGAACGCUGGCGGCAUGCCUAACACAUGCAAGUCGAACGAGACCUUCGGGUCUAGUGGCGCACGGGUGCGUAACGCGUGGGAACCUGCCCUUAGGUUCGGAAUAACUCCCCGAAAGGGGUGCUAAUACCGGAUAAUGUCUUCGGACCAAAGAUUUAUCGCCUUUGGAUGGGCCCGCGUUGGAUUAGCUAGUUGGUAGGGUAAAAGCCUACCAAGGCGACGAUCCAUAGCUGGUCUGAGAGGAUGAUCAGCCACACUGGGACUGAGACACGGCCCAGACUCCUACGGGAGGCAGCAGUGGGGAAUAUGGGACAAUGGGCGAAAGCCUGAUCCAGCAAGGCCGCGUGAGUGAUGAAGGCCUUAGGGUGGUAAAGCUCUUUUACCCGGGAUGAUAAUGACAGUACCGGGAGAAUAAGCUCCGGCUAACUCCGU
rnacentral:rRNA from 1 species